GAUGAACGCUGGCGGCGUGCUUAACACAUGCAAGUCGAACGAUGAAGCCCAGCUUGCUGGGUGGAUUAGUGGCGAACGGGUGAGUAACACGUGAGUAACCUGCCCUUAACUCUGGGAUAAGCCUGGGAAACUGGGUCUAAUACCGGAUAGGAGCGCCUACCGCAUGGUGGGUGUUGGAAAGAUUUAUCGGUUUUGGAUGGACUCGCGGCCUAUCAGCUUGUUGGUGAGGUAAUGGCUCACCAAGGCGACGACGGGUAGCCGGCCUGAGAGGGUGACCGGCCACACUGGGACUGAGACACGGCCCAGACUCCUACGGGAGGCUGCAGUGGGGAAUAUUGCACAAUGGGCGAAAGCCUGAUGCAGCGACGCCGCGUGAGGGAUGACGGCCUUCGGGUUGUAAACCUCUUUCAGUAGGGGAGAAGCGAAAGUGACGGUACCUGCAGAAGAAGCACCGGCUAACUACGUG
rnacentral:rRNA from 1 species